AUCGAACGCUGGCGGCAGGCUUAACACAUGCAAGUCGAGCGAGAGGCGGACGGGUGAGUCGUGUCUGUGAAACGGCCCGAUGGAGGGGGCUCACUACUGGAAAUGGUAGCUAAUACCGCAUAGCUUCAGUUGUACCCAAAUGGGAGUAGCUAGUAGGUGGGGUAAUGGCUCACAUAGACGACGAGCCCUAGCUGGUCUGAGAGGAUGACCGGCCAAACUGGAACUGAGACACGGUCCAGACUCCUACGGAAGGCAGCAGUGGGGAAUAUUGCACAAUGGGCGCAAGCCUGAUGCAGCCAUGCCGCGUGUGUGAAGAAGGCCUUCGGGUUGUAAAGCACUGUCGGCGAGGAGGCGUUACUCGCAGAAGAAGGGCCGGCUAACUCCGUGCCAGCCGCCGCGGUAAUAC
rnacentral:rRNA from 1 species